AGUAAAAUAAGCCAUGCUCAGAAAGAGUCAAGGACACUUUUCUUUUGAGCUAUAUACAGCUUUUAGUAAUUGAGUAAAGUAUACUCCUGUGAACAAAAUGUGGAGCAUAUUUGAUUCUCUCUACCUGUUUUCUCCAAAAUUGGAAACUGAAUCAAACUUGACUUGUAAAGCCAGUAAAAGCUCCAUGAAGAAUUGGCCUCAUACCUUGUCUGCAACAGUCCCUGUACAGGGUUUCUGACUUGGGUUUACAUUGCAGACUCACCCUGAAUUAUUCCUUGCACGAG
rnacentral:lncRNA from 1 species